GGAAGGAUCAUUGACAAAUCUAUAAACAACACGCUGUGGUGUGUGGUGUGGUGGUGCCAUCAUCACUGGUGCGCGCCCCCCCCCCACACACACACAACAUUCUAACCUGUGAAUCGGCUGCCAGCCUCGGCUGUGCUGCUCGUGUGGCUGCUUGCAUAUGCAUGCGUGCCCCAACACAUUUACCUUUGUGUCUUAUCUCAAUAACAACAAUACAAUACAACUUUUAGCAAUGGAUCUCUUGGCUUCUGUAACGAUGAAGAACGCAGUGAAAUGCGAUAACUAAUGUGAAUUGCAUUAUCUCGUGAAUCAUCGAGUCUUUGAACGCAUCUUGCACCUUUCAGGUCUCCUGAAAGGUAUACUUGUUUGAGUAUCAUGAACAUUUCUCCAAGUUUGCUCUUGGGAGUUGAGACGUCAAGUUAGCUACUAACAUGUGUCUUUUAAGUGAUAUGCAAAGCGUUCCGCGCGCGCACCUCUGUGUGUGCACGGGGAAGCCCAACAAUCAAAUGUGAGAUAGAUAUCGCACAAAGUAGUUGUGACGGGUCAAGCUUGGCUACGCCUGGAAGGGGAGAGAGGCUUUCUCUCUGCUUCACUUCUUGAACUCUGUGAUCUCAAAUCAAGUAAGACUACCCGCUGAACUUAAGCAUAUCAGUAAGCGGAGGAAAAGAAACUAACAAGGAUUCCCCCAGUAACGGCGAGUGAAGAGGGAAGAGCUCAAAUUUAAAAUCUGUAAGGCUUCCUUACCGAAUUGUAGUUUAUAGAUGUGCUUUCUUGGUGCAGCGCUUGGUAUAAGUCUCUUGGAAAAGAGCAUCAAAGAGGGUGAUAAUCCCGUAUUUGGCCUUGCAGCUGCGCCUGUAUGAUGCGCAUUCCAAGAGUCGGAUUGUUUGGGAAUGCAGUCCUAAAUGGGUGGUAAAUUUCAUCUAAAGCUAAAUAUUGACAGAAGACCGAUAGCGAACAAGUACCGUGAGGGAAAGAUGAAAAGAACUUUGAAAAGAGAGUUAAAAGUACGUGAAAUUGCUAAAGGGGAAACGAUCAAAGUCAGUAUUGCGCCUGGAAACUCAGCCAACGCUAGAGGAGGCUGCGAGUGUAGAGAGUGUCAAAGCCUCUUGCUUGCUGCCGCACUUGUACGUUGGUGCAUUUUUCUUGUGUGUGUGCAAGUCAACAUCAGUUUGGGUCGUGCUGGAUAAGGCUUGGAGGAAGGUGGGUGCUGCUCUCGGGUAGCAUCUUUAUAGACUCUUUGCUGUAACAGUGGCCCGGACUGAGGAACGCAAUCCAAAGCCGCAAGGCUGGAUCAGCCCCAAGCAUGUUUGCGGCGCAAGAGUACUCAGCACGCUGGCUGCUCUUGCGCUUGUGGACGGUCCUUGGAGCGCGAUACCAUUGGGAUUUAGGAUGUUGACGAAAUGGCUUUGACCGACCCGUCUUGAAACACGGACCAAGGAGUCUACCAAUUGUGCGAGUGUUUGAGUGUUAAACUCAAGCGCGUAACGAAAGUGAUUAUGAGGUGGGAUCCGCAAGGUGCACCACUAGCCAGUCAUUGACUUGUCUUUGAUUGAGCACGAGCACAACUGUUAGGACCCGAAAGAUGGUGAACUAUGCCUGAAUAGGGUGAAGUCAGAGGAAACUCUGAUGGAAGCUCGUAGCGGUUCUGACGUGCAAAUCGAUCGUCAAAUUUGGGUAUAGGGGCGAAAGACUAAUCGAACCAUCUAGUAGCUGGUUCCCUC
rnacentral:misc_RNA from 1 species